AUCAGGAUGGCUGAGUGGUUUAAGGCGCCAGACUCAAGUUCUGGUCUCCAAAUGGAGGCGUGGGUUCAAAUCCCACUUCUGACA